rnacentral:rRNA from 1 species
UACGUAGGGUGCAAGCGUUAAUCGGAAUUACUGGGCGUAAAGCGUGCGCAGGCGGUUAUGCAAGACAGAGGUGAAAUCCCCGGGCUCAACCUGGGAACUGCCUUUGUGACUGCAUAGCUAGAGUACGGUAGAGGGGGAUGGAAUUCCGCGUGUAGCAGUGAAAUGCGUAGAGAUGUGGAGGAACACCGAUGGCGAAGGCAGCCUCCUGGGCCAGCACUGACGCUCAUGCACGAAAGCGUGGGGAGCAAACAGG